AGCGAACGCUGGCGGCAGGCUUAACACAUGCAAGUCGAGCGCCUGUAGCAAUACAGGAGCGGCAGACGGGUGAGUAACGCGUGGGAACAUGCCCUUUGGUUUGGAAUAACUCAGGGAAACUUGAGCUAAUACCGGAUAAGCCCGUUCUUUAUUGAAUGGGAAGAUUAUCGCCGAAGGAUUGGCCCGCGUCCGAUUAGCUAGUUGGUGUGGUAAUGGCGCACCAAGGCGACGAUCGGUAGCUGGUCUGAGAGGAUGAUCAGCCACACUGGGACUGAGACACGGCCCAGACUCCUACGGGAGGCAGCAGUGGGGAAGUAUUGGACAAUGGGCGCAAGCCUGAUCCAGCCAUGCCGCGUGAGUGAUG
rnacentral:rRNA from 1 species